rnacentral:rRNA from 1 species
CCUACGGGAGGCAGCAGUGGGGGAUAUUGCACAAUGGGGAAACCCUGAUGCAACGGCGCCGCGUGUGGGAAGACGGUCCUCUGGAUUGUAAACCACUAUCCCCAGGGACGAAGAUUACGGUACCUGGGCAGGACGCUCCGGCUAACUACGUACCAGCCGCCGCGGUAAUACGUAGGGAGCGAGCGUUGUCCGGAAUUACGGGGUGUAACGGGUGCGUAGGCGGGGAUGCAAGUUGGGUGUAAAACCUACCGGCUCAACUGGUAGUCGCACUCAAAACUGCAGCGCUUGAGUGAAGUAGAGGCAGGCGGAAUUCCUAGUGUAGCGGUGAAAUGCGUAGAUAUUAGGAGGAACACCAGUGGCGAAGGCGGCCUGCUGGGCUGUGACUGACGUUGAGGCUCGAAAGUGUGGGGAGCAAACAGGAUUAGAUACCCGAGUAGUC